GAGCACCCACAGCUCCGGCCAGCAGUGCCGCCGCGUCGCCGCCUCCGGGUUGUGGAUUGGAAUGGAAGUCUGCAAGUGACAAAGCGUCAGCAGUGGAAGAGUGAAGCGGUCCCGGCGUGGAAAGGAGUCGUGUUAUAAGAGCAGCAAACCUGCAGCCUGCUUACUUCAUAUCCGACAGAGGGAUGCUCCACACCAAGCCUGGUGUUUGUGUUUCAUCCAGUCACACAAAUAGAAGCUGACGGAUGCCA
rnacentral:lncRNA from 1 species